GACGAACGCUGGCGGCGUGCUUAACACAUGCAAGUCGAACGGAAAGGCCCUGCUUUUGUGGGGUGCUCGAGUGGCGAACGGGUGAGUAACACGUGAGUAACCUGCCCUUGACUUUGGGAUAACGUCAGGAAACUGGGGCUAAUACCGGAUAGGAGCUCCUGCUGCAGGGUGGGGGUUGGAAAGUUUCGGCGGUUGGGGAUGGACUCGCGGCUUAUCAGCUUGUUGGUGGGGUAGUGGCUUACCAAGGCUUUGACGGGUAGCCGGCCUGGGAGGGUGACCGGCCACAUUGGGCCUGAGAUACGGCCCAGCCUCCUACGGGAGGCAGCAGUGGGGAAUAUUGCACAAUGGGCGGAAGCCUGAUGCAGCAACGCCGCGUGCGGGAUGACGGCCUUCGGGUUGUAACCCGCUUUCGCCUGUGACGAAGCGUUAGUGACGGUAAUGGGUAAAGAAGCACCGGCUAACUACGUG
rnacentral:rRNA from 1 species